rnacentral:rRNA from 1 species
GUCUACAGCUGUACUAGCCUGAACAUGCCCAAUCUUGUCUGAUCUCGGAAGCUAAGCAGGGUCAGGCCUGGUUAGUACUUGGAUGGGAACCUCGGGUGCUGUAGGCU